ensembl:lncRNA
ACUAAACAGAAACGACUGAAUAGCCAAAACAUUUAAUUUAACUUCAUUUAACUGCAGUGCAAAGAACUUCAUACAUUUAAAUCCAAAUUUACAUAUUUAUGCAAAGAGCUAUACAAACGAGAGACCUUAUUUCUUUUGGAACGUGUAACACCGUGACCAAGGCACAUUUUCAUCACGAUUAUAUACGCUUAAAUAAAAACCUUUUUUGGCUUUGACAAAUUAAACAAAAUGUGAGGAACAUCAAUACAAAAUCAAUAUUGCAGCCUAUCAGCGUGUAUUUUUCUUCUUCUCUGUGAAGAUGUUUCCUUCUCUGUUUUCUAUUUUUUUACAUUGUCGAUGGUCCCUUUUUUGGUGGCACUGGAUUCGUGGUGGCAUUCUCCCAUGACCUGGGUGGAGAUAUACAUUUACAUUUACAUUCUUUGUGGUUCAUAGGCGAGUGUGUUAACCACUUUACGUAAAUUCUUCCAAUCUGCACUGCUGCGCAUAUUGUCUACAUAAAUGAAAAAGUGGAAUUAGAAGCAUUCUGUUUAACACCAUUGUUUCUGUUCAGAUCCUGUCACCGUGAUGAUCCCAUGACGUCCCACAUCAUAAACCCUCUCCUUUAUGUGAUUCAUGUCAAAAGAACUGCUGCAUUGCCCUGUAAUGACUGCCUGUGGAGAAAAGGGGUCGCCACAGAGGAUGCCCUUCCCGACGCAUCAUUUACCCGGGCUUGAGACCGUCGCGAGGAAAUACACUGUCACGUGCAUCCCCAGUGGCUAGAUUAACACAAAAAUUUAGUGUUCAAUCAACUCAAUCAACUAUAUGGGCUUGUUACCUGUGUAGGGGCGGAGUCACUAUGAUUUAAUGAUCUAAGUAAGACUGAACUGUAGGUUGUACCCUGAGGAGUAAACAGCAUUACCUUGGCAAAAACUUGGCGAGGACUCCCCAGAACUCCCAGAAAACAAAAACCACUACGGUGGCCUAUGGGUGCCGUAGUGGACAUGUCACACUGUCAUUUCCCAGUCUCCUGCUCAACUGACUUGAAAAAUCUCUAGUGUCUUGAUGGAAAUUUCUGAAAGGAUGAUUGGAUGUUUUUGACAUCUUCAGACUUGAUGAAGUGAAAGUAAAGUGAUGCACAGCACACGGUGGCACAAUGAAAUGUGUCCUCUGCAUUUAACAAUCACCCUUGGUGAGCAGUGGGCAGCCAUGACAGGCGCCCGGGGAGCAGUGUAUGGGGAC